rnacentral:rRNA from 1 species
AUUGAACGCUGGCGGCAGGCCUAACACAUGCAAGUCGAACGAGUGGCGGACGGGUGAGUAAUGUCUGGGAAACUGCCUGAUGGUGGGGGAUCACUACUGGAAACGGUAGCUAAUACUGCAUACCAUCAGAUGUGCCCAGAUAGGAUUAGCUUGUUGGUGGGGGAACGACUCACCAAGGCGACGAUCCCUAGCUGGUCUGGGAGGAUGACCAGCCAGGCUGAAACUUGAACACGGUCCAGACGCCUACGGGAGGCAGCAGUGAGGAAUAUUGCACAAGGGGCGCAAGCCUGAUGCAGCCAUGCCGCGUGUAUGAAAAAGGCCUUCGGGUUGUAAAGUACUUUCAGCGGGAAGGCGUUGCCCGCAGAGGAAGCACCGGCUAACUCCGUGCCAGCAGCCGCGGUAAUUC